UGUCCAUUUUGAAGUGACAUUGAUAGUUGCCAUUUUGGGCAUGACCGGACUUUUUUCACUUCUUUCAAAAAUUCCGGGAUCUUUGAAACUUUCUUAGCAAGUCAAAGGCGGACUCAUUGAAUUAUUCAGAUGUGUCACUUGUGGGAG
ensembl:ncRNA B0495.22 ncRNA